UCCGUAGGUGAACCUGCGGAAGGAUCACUAGUGAAUCGGCGCUCGCGUAGAGCUGCCCACUUCAUCCCUACCCUGUGAAAUUGGUCUAAACCUUUUUUUACUCUAAAAGUGACGAAUGUAAAAUCGUACUAAAACAACAAAACUUUCAGCAACGGAUCUCUUGGCUCCCGCAUCGAUGAAGAACGCAGCGAAACGCGAAGUGUAAUGUGAAUUGCAGAAUUUACGUGAAUCAUCGAAUCUUUGAACGCAUCUUGCGCUCUUUGGCAUUCCGAAGAGCAUGCCUGUUUGAGUGUCGCAAACCUCUCACGCCCCGAGCUUGUCUCGCUGUGGCUGUGGACCGUGGCCGCCUCUGGCCGGUGCCCUUGGUCGCCGGCCCGGCCGAAAUGCAUGCGGAGCGCCUCUGCUGCCCGCGACGACCGAGCGUUGUAGACCUCUCGCUUGGUUGUUCGUGAAGCGCAGGCUCCUGACCCCAUUUUAUUCGACCUCAAAUCAGGUAGGACUA
rnacentral:rRNA from 1 species